CCCUUAGAUGUCCUGGGCCGCACGCGCGCUACACUGAUGCAUUCAACGAGUUUUACCUUGGCCGAGAGGCCUGGGCAAUCUUUUAAACCUGCAUCGUGAUAGGGAUAGAUUAUUGCAAUUAUUAAUCUUGAACGAGGAAUUCCUAGUAAACGCAGAUCAUCAAUCUGCAUUGAUUACGUCCCUGCCCUUUGUACACACCGCCCGUUGCACCUACCGAUUGAAUGGUCCGGUGAAGCCUCGGGAUUGUGGCCAGUUCACUUUAUUGGGAGUUGGCUGCGAGAACUUGUCUAAACCUUAUCAUUUAGAGGAAGGUGAAGUCGUAACA
rnacentral:rRNA from 1 species